UACGGAGGGAGCUAGCGUUGUUCGGAAUUACUGGGCGUAAAGCGCACGUAGGCGGCUUUGUAAGUUAGAGGUGAAAGCCCGGGGCUCAACUCCGGAACUGCCUUUAAGACUGCAUCGCUUGAAUCCAGGAGAGGUGAGUGGAAUUCCGAGUGUAGAGGUGAAAUUCGUAGAUAUUCGGAAGAACACCAGUGGCGAAGACGGCUCACUGGACUGGUAUUGACGCUGAGGUGCGAAAGCGUGGGGAGCAAACAGG
rnacentral:rRNA from 1 species